CUGGCUCAGGAUGAACGCUAGCGGCAGGCUUAACACAUGCAAGUCGAGGGGCAACGCGAGUAGCAAUACUUGGCGGCGACCGGCGCAAGGGUGCGUAACGCGUGAGCAACAUGCCCGUAUCAGGGGGAUAAUCCAGGGAAACUUGGUCUAAUGCCCCAUAGUAAUUUUGUAAGGCAUCUUAUAAGAUUUAAAGCUUUGGUGGAUACGGAUUGGCUCGCGUGACAUUAGCUGGAUGGUAAGGUAACGGCUUACCAUGGCUAUGAUGUCUAGGGGUUCUGAGAGGAAGGUCCCCCCACACUGGAACUGAGACACGGUCCAGACUCCUACGGGAGGCAGCAGUGAGGAAUAUUGGACAAUGGAUGGAAUCUGAUCCAGCCAUGCCGCGUGAAGGAAGAAAGGUCCUAUGGAUUGUAAACUUCUUUUGUAUGGGAGCAAUAAGGCCUACGUGUAGGUUGAUGAGAGUACCAUACGAAUAAGCACCGGCUAACUCCGUGCCAGCAGCAGC
rnacentral:rRNA from 1 species